rnacentral:rRNA from 1 species
GAUGAACGCUAGCGAUAGGCUUAACACAUGCAAGUCGAGGGGCAGCAUGGUCUUAGCUUGCUAAGACUGAUGGCGACCGGCGCACGGGUGCGUAACGCGUAUGCAACUUGCCUCACAGAGGGGGAUAACCCGUCGAAAGACGGACUAAUACCGCGUACACUCCAUCUUGGGCAUCCAAGGUAGAGGAAAUGAAAUUCGCUGUGAGAUAGGCAUGCGUCCCAUUAGCUAGUUGGUGAGGUAACGGCUCACCAAGGCGACGAUGGGUAGGGGAACUGAGAGGUUGAACCCCCACACUGGUACUGAGACACGGACCAGACUCCUACGGGAGACAGCAGUGAGGAAUAUUGGUCAAUGGGCGAGAGCCUGAACCAGCCAAGUCGCGUGAAGGAUGACUGUCUUAUGGAUUGUAAACUUCUUUUAUACGGGAAUAACAAGAGUCACGUGUGACUCCCUGCAUGUACCGUAUGAAUAAGCAUCGGCUAACUCCGUG